rnacentral:lncRNA from 1 species
CUGGUGUAUCAAAUUAUAUUAAGCCUGGUACAUUUGAUAACUAUCAUGAACAUGUGAUGAGUUCAACGUUUGUAUCUGGCACUUCAAUUUCCUUGAUUUGAUUUCCAACAUAGAAAUGACAUUAUUUAUUUAGUUGAACGCAUAAUAAUUUUUUUUAGAAACGAACUUAAACUAUCGAGUCUCAAAACGGCGACUGCACCAGUGUU